UGGGGAAUUUUGGACAAUGGGCGAAAGCCUGAUCCAGCAAUGCCGCGUGUGUGAAGAAGGCCUUCGGGUUGUAAAGCACUUUUGUCCGGAAAGAAAUCCUUGGCUCUAAUACAGUCGGGGGAUGACGGUACCGGAAGAAUAAUCACCGGCUAACUACGUGCCAGCAGCCGCGGUAAUACGUAGGGUGCAAGCGUUAAUCGGAAUUACUGGGCGUAAAGCGUGCGCAGGCGGUUUGCUAAGACCGAUGUGAAAUCCCCGGGCUCAACCUGGGAACUGCAUUGGUGACUGGCAGGCUAGAGUAUGGCAGAGGGGGGUAGAAUUCCACGUGUAGCAGUGAAAUGCGUAGAGAUGUGGAGGAAUACCGAUGGCGAAGGCAGCCCCCUGGGCCAAUACUGACGCUCAUGCACGAAAGCGUGGGGAGCAAACAGGAUUAGAUACCCUGGUAGUCCACGCCCUAAAACGAUGUCAACUAGUUGUUGGGGAUUCAUUUCCUUAGUAACGUAGCUAACGCGUGAAGUUGACCGCCUGGGGAGUACGGUCGCAAGAUUAAAACUCAAAGGAAUUGACGGGGUCAUAGCUGUUUCCU
rnacentral:rRNA from 1 species